CCCCCCCCCCUCCCGCGCCGACGCCCGUGACGUCAGCCGCCCGGCUCCAUUUGAGCGCCUCUCGGCAGCCGAGAACUCGGACUUCCCGUGUGGCUCACAACAUAACUACUCGGCGUUGCUUCUACAGUGGCUGUGGCUCGACCCCUGGCCUGGGAACUUCCAUAUGCCGCAGCCCCGCGGCGGCAGAUGGCACUCGUUCUGCCGCUUUUUCCUGGCUGUGUGCGAUGCCAUCGCAUAGAUGUCCCCGGGUCUGCGAAGUGCACUCACCUGUCAGUGGACCUUUAGGUGGCUUCCAGAUCUUGGCUCUGCCCCGCGGCGGCAGAUGGCACUCGUUCUGCCGCUUUUUCCUGGCUGUGUGCGAUGCCAUCGCAUAGAUGUCCCCGGCUGCGAAGUGCACUCACCUGUCAGUGGACCUUUAGGUGGCUUCCAGAUCUUGGCUCUGGUGAGUAGUGCGGCGACAGACAGAGGGGUGCCCGGGUCUGCUUCCGGGAAAGUUUGGUCCCGGUGAAAUGGAGCUG
rnacentral:lncRNA from 1 species